UACAGAGGGGGCAAGCGUUGUUCGGAAUUACUGGGCGUAAAGGGCGCGUAGGCGGCCUGCUAAGUCGAACGUGAAAUCCCCGGGCUCAACCCGGGAACUGCGUCCGAUACUGGCAGGCUUGAAUCCGGGAGAGGGAUGUGGAAUUCCAGGUGUAGCGGUGAAAUGCGUAGAUAUCAGGAGGAACACCGGUGGCGAAGGCGGCUCUCUGGACGGUGACUGACGCUGAGACGCGAAAGCGUGGGGAGCAAACAGG
rnacentral:rRNA from 1 species